rnacentral:ncRNA from 1 species
UUUCUUCAGGGCAGGGUGUGAUUCCCUACCGGCGGUGAUAGUCCGCGACUCCCUUUUCCGGGGACUGAAUCGGUGAAAUUCCGGUACCGACGGUGAUAGUCCGGAUGGUAGAAGAA